rnacentral:rRNA from 11 species
ACAGAUGGUUUAAAUACCCUAAAGGAGCCAGAUCCCAUCUGAUCUUGGAAGCUAUGCAGGAUCAACCCUUGUUGGUGCUAGAAUGGGAGACUGCCAAUGAAUAAUAGGAGCUGUUAGCU